CUUUAAUGCGGUAGCUGAUGUCAUCGGUGACAUCAUGACCACCAUUUUGACACUCUUCAGUGAUGGUUGACACACAUGACCCCUUAUCAUUAUGAGUCAAAGAGGAGCUGAAAUAGCAAAACGCUACCGGGAGCGCCGUGAUGCUGACCCUGACAGAAAAAGACAGUAUCUUGAAAAAGAGAGGGUCAGGUGGAAGAAGGACAGAGACACUGGAAAGAAAAAGGGCAUUGAUGAGCUGAGUGAGCGAGAGAAGAGGGCAAAAAGAAAGAAGUGGAGAGAGGCAAAAAAAGCAGCCAGAGCAAAGUCCAGGGCCAGCGCUUUGCUUUUGUCGGAGACACCACCCAGUGAUCAGUCGAAAGUACAUGAACAGAAUAAAAGUUGGAGGCCAGAAGUCAUCGAGGAGAAGCACAUUGGUGAAUGGUGUGUAGUCAACUAUGACAAUGAUGGAUACCCUGGUAUCAUUCUUGAUGUAGAGGAGCACAAUGUGAAAGUGAAAUGCAUGCACAACAAAGGCAUCAACAAAUUCUGUUGGCCAAGUCCUCGUGAUGACAUCAACUGGUAUGGGGAUUGGCAGAUUCUGUGCCUCAUGUCGGAACCACAACUUGUGAACAGGCGUGCCUUCUCAGUUGAGCCAUCUGUAUGGAAGUACAUGGAGGACCAAUUACAGUAGACCUAGAUGUCCUGAUGUUCUGAUGAGUAGCUUACCCUUGAUAUGUGUUCUGAUGUUAACUGAGUACAGUUUGUACCUAACUCAUCCUUUUUAAUGUUUUUCUGUACUGAAUUGCGUUUGUCCACCCUGUCAUGUGAUUUUCCACCCUAUCGUGCCAAUGUCCACCCUGUCAAAUUUAAGUUUAAUGAAAAAAAACAAAAUAUGUAUUGAAUAUACAGUAACCCUGUGUGUGUUUCCUGAUAUCCAAAUGAUUAUCAAACAAUACCAUUAAAAAGUUUUGCUUGUUAGAUUUGUUUUUGUCAUUUUAUUUUAAAAUCAAAGAAGACCUAUGGCCAUCGCUUAGAUAAAACUGCAAUUUUAUUCUAAUUUUAGUAUUUACCAAAGACUUUUCCCAUUACCU